rnacentral:tRNA from 1 species
GAGACGUUAGUAAAUCAAUUACAUAAUCUUGUCAAGAUUAAAUAAAAGGUUUAAACCCUUUACGACUCA